CGAGGCGAAGCGGAAAGUUGAUAACAGUGUACUCGCCCCCGCCGCAUGCGCGCUUUGUCAGGUGGCUCAGCCUUGCGGCAUGACGUCAGCGGGGAGCAGAGCCUGAGUGAGCGGACCGCGGAGUACAGGUACAGCGGACACAAAGCAGGCAGGUGAGCUGAGGCUGGCCUUUCGGGAAGAGAGGAUCGCCGCCGCGCCCCUCACAAAAUCUUGCUGAAAUACUUUAGCAUUCUACAUGACUGAGAACCCACCACCUUAUCCUGGGCCAGGCCCAGCAGGUCCAUAUCCACCUUAUCCACAACAAUAUGGUCCAGGUGUUAAUGCUGCUUACCCUAGUUACCCACCUCCGCCAGGAGCGCAGCCUGUAUAUCAAGGUUAUCCACAGUACGGCUGGCAGAAUGCACCACCACAACCAGGGAUGGUUUACACAGAUGUCCCAAAAAAUACAGUUUACGUUGUAGAAGAACGCAGAAGGAAUGAUACUGGGGAUACUUGUUUGACAGCAUGUUGGACUGCGCUCUGCUGUUGUUGCCUUUGGGAUAUGUUGACCUAAAAUUCCUCUGCUACACUGAAAGCCUCACUUCAAGAUUCUCCCACUUCCUGGACCUUCAAAUCAAUGCUUGAAUAUUAACUUUGUUUUUCCUGAAAGGUCCCUGUUCAAAAUUUCAGUUUGAUCAAAUGAUGACAUGAGCUUAAUUAAAUAAUUGGAUGGCAAGCUAUUGGUGUGGUCCAAUGUCUUUUGAUGGCUUUCCCAAAUACAGAGCAACUUAAUUUAUGCAGAAAUUUUUAAAUAAGCUAUAAAUUGUUAUGGAUUUGAUCAAUACAUAAUAGUUGCAAUCGAUUUGUUUGUUAUGUAAAAUUAACACUGAUUUCCUGUGAAACUAUUUAGAUAAAUAAUAACAUUGUAGUCUUUUACUAUGUCACUGGAAUGCGAUAUUUCACAUUAAAAACAGCUGUUCAAUCACAACUUUUUGAAUAAAGUACAUUUAUGCUUUAAUACAA